rnacentral:rRNA from 1 species
UACGUAGGGGGCAAGCGUUGUCCGGAUUUAUUGGGCGUAAAGAGCGUGUAGGCGGCUUUACAGGUCCGUUGUGAAAACUCGAGGCUCAACCUCGAGACGUCGAUGGAAACCAUCUAGCUAGAGUCCGGAAGAGGAGAGUGGAAUUCCUGGUGUAGCGGUGAAAUGCGCAGAUAUCAGGAGGAACACCAAUAGCGAAGGCAGCUCGCUGGGACGUUACUGACACUGAGGCGCGAAAGCGUGGGGAGCGAACAGG